rnacentral:rRNA from 1 species
AUUGAACGCUGGCGGCAGGCCUAACACAUGCAAGUCGAACGAGUGGCGGACGGGUGAGUAAUGUCUGGGAAACUGCCUGAUGGAGGGGGAUAACUACUGGAAACGGUAACUAAUACCGCAUACCAUCGGAUGUGCCCCGAUGGGAUUAGCUAGUAGUUGGGGUAAAGGCUCACCUAGGCGACGAUCCCUAGCUGGUCUGAGAGGAUGACCAGCCACACUGGAACUGAGACACGGUCCAGACUCCUACGGGAGGCAGCAGUGGGGAAUAUUGCACAAUGGGCGCAAGCCUGAUGCAGCCAUGCCGCGUGUAUGAAGAAGGCCUUCGGGUUGUAAAGUACUUUCAGCGGGGAGGCGGGAGGCGAAGAAGAAGCACCGGCUAACUCCGUGCCAGCAGCCGCGGUAAUUG